ACGCUUAGGCGUGUGACUGCGUACCUUUUGUAUAAUGGGUCAGCGACUUAUAUUCUGUAGCAAGGUUAACCGAAUAGGGGAGCCGAAGGGAAACCGAGUCUUAACUGGGCGUUAAGUUGCAGGGUAUAGACCCGAAACCCGGUGAUCUAGCCAUGGGCAGGUUGAAGGUUGGGUAACACUAACUGGAGGACCGAACCGACUAAUGUUGAAAAAUUAGCGGAUGACUUGUGGCUGGGGGUGAAAGGCCAAUCAAACCGGGAGAUAGCUGGUUCUCCCCGAAAGCUAUUUAGGUAGCGCCUCGUGAAUUCAUCUCCGGGGGUAGAGCACUGUUUCGGCAAGGGGGUCAUCCCGACUUACCAACCCGAUGCAAACUGCGAAUACCGGAGAAUGUUAUCACGGGAGACACACGGCGGGUGCUAACGUCCGUCGUGAAGAGGGAAACAACCCAGACCGCCAGCUAAGGUCCCAAAGUCAUGGUUAAGUGGGAAACGAUGUGGGAAGGCCCAGACAGCCAGGAUGUUGGCUUAGAAGCAGCCAUCAUUUAAAGAAAGCGUAAUAGCUCACUGGUCGAGUCGGCCUGCGCGGAAGAUGUAACGGGGCUAAACCAUGCACCGAAGCUGCGGCAGCGACGCUUAUGCGUUGUUGGGUAGGGGAGCGUUCUGUAAGCCUGCGAAGGUGUGCUGUGAGG
rnacentral:rRNA from 1 species